CCUUCUUCAGGGUGUUUAUGGAUUCCUUGAAGAAAAACAACUUACCCUUACUCUAGAAGAAAGUUUAAAAAGAUACCUGAUAUACCGAAUACCUGCUGGUUCCCAGAUGCCCCCUACCCUCUUGGUUAUGGACCUAGAGAGGUGAUAGCUACCCAGAGGCAGCAGCUGACUGGAGACAUUUCCAUGGACUUUCCCUUCGUUCCACUUCAGCCUGGCUUUAAGAUUACUUGUACAUCCUGCCUACAGAGAGGAUAUAUGUUCGGUGUUCUCUCACCCCUGUGCGAACCCAGCUUUUUCAACUACAAGUAUGUUCCGAAUGAUCUUUGACUGGAAAGAAUUGACAAUGAUUGCCGUAGAAUGCUACCCCCUGACCUGUGUGGGGAAACAUUUCCUCAUCUUUUAAGCUUCAGCUAAAUCCUGAAUUCUGCUAUAAAGCCAGGAAGAACUGAUAACUUUCUCCAUCCUUAUAAUCUGCACAUUCUUCAGUUGUAGUUCAGAAUACAUUGAUAUCUGUCUCCUCAUCUGGGCUGUGAACUACAUAAAUACAGUAAUAAUGUUUAUUAAUCUUUGUGUCCCCAUGUCAGACACCUAACAAACUAAGUAAACAUACGUUGAAUACA